AAUGAACGCUGGCGGCAGGCCUAACACAUGCAAGUCGAGCGAGACCUUCGGGUCUAGCGGCGGACGGGUUAGUAACGCGUGGGAAUAUACCCCUUUCUACGGAAUAGCCUCGGGAAACUGAGAGUAAUACCGUAUACGCCCUUCGGGGGAAAGAUUUAUCGGUGAGGGAUUAGCCCGCGUUGGAUUAGGUAGUUGGUGGAGUAAUGGCCUACCAAGCCUACGAUCCAUAGCUGGUUUGAGAGGAUGAUCAGCAACACUGGGACUGAGACACGGCCCAGACUCCUACGGGAGGCAGCAGUGGGGAAUCUUAGACAAUGGGCGCAAGCCUGAUCUAGCCAUGCCGCGUGGAUGAUGAAGGCCUUAGGGUUGUAAAGUCCUUUCAGUUGGGAAGAUAAUGACGGUACCAACAGAAGAAGCCCCGGCUAACUCCGUGCCAGCAGCCGCGGUAAUACGGAGGGGGCUAGCGUUAUUCGGAAUUACUGGGCGUAAAGCGCACGUAGGCGGAUC
rnacentral:rRNA from 1 species